rnacentral:misc_RNA from 1 species
AAGACUAUAGACCUGCGGAGUACCUGCGGAGGGAUCAUUAGUGAACGCCCCCACGGGCUUAUAACUAUUCCAAACCUCUGUGAACCGUGCCCUUCGGGGCUAUUUUACAAACAUGGUGUAAUGAACGUCAUAUAUCAUAACAAAACAAAACUUUCAGCAAUGGAUCUCU